AACGGCCCACCAAACCGACGAUGGAUAGGGGUUCUGAGAGGAAGGUCCCCCACAUUGGUACUGAGACACGGACCAAACUCCUACGGGAGGCAGCAGUGAGGAAUAUUGGUCAAUGGCCGAGAGGCUGAACCAGCCAAGUCGCGUGAGGGAUGAAGGUUCUAUGGAUCGUAAACCUCUUUUAUAAGGGAAUAAAGUGCGGGACGUGUCCCGUUUUGUAUGUACCUUAUGAAUAAGGAUCGGCUAACUCCGUGCCAGCAGCCGCGGUAAUACGGAGGAUCCGAGCGUUAUCCGGAUUUAUUGGGUUUAAAGGGUGCGUAGGCGGCCUUUUAAGUCAGCGGUGAAAGUCUGUGGCUCAACCAUAGAAUUGCCGUUGAAACUGGGGGGCUUGAGUAUGUUUGAGGCAGGCGGAAUGCGUGGUGUAGCGGUGAAAUGCAUAGAUAUCACGCGGAACCCCGAUUGCGAAGGCAGCCUGCCAAGCCAUGACUGACGCUGAUGCACGAAAGCGUGGGGAUCAAACAGGAUUAGAUACCCUGGUAGUCCACGCAGUAAACGAUGAUCACUAGCUGUUUGCGAUACACAGUAAGCGGCACAGCGAAAGCGUUAAGUGAUCCACCUGGGG
rnacentral:rRNA from 1 species